rnacentral:rRNA from 1 species
AGGGUUUGAUCAUGGCUCAGAAUCAACGCUGGCGGCGUGCCUAACACAUGCAAGUCGAACGCGAAAGCCCCGCAAGGGGCAAGUAGAGUGGCAAACGGGUGAGUAACACGUGGGUGACCUGCCUUCGAGCGGGGGAUAACGUCCCGAAAGGGACGCUAAUACCGCAUAACAUCCUGCCUUUGAAGAGGUGGAGAUCAAAGCCGGGGAUCGCAAGACCCGGCACUUGAAGAGGGGCCCGCGCCUGAUUAGCUAGUUGGUGGGGUAACGGCCUACCAAGGCAACGAUCAGUAUCCGGCCUGAGAGGGCGGACGGACACACUGGGACUGAGACACGGCCCAGACUCCUACGGGAGGCAGCAGUGGGGAAUUGUUCGCAAUGGGCGCAAGCCUGACGACGCAACGCCGCGUGGAGGAUGAAGAUCUUCGGGUCGUAAACUCCUGUCGAAUGGGACGAAUAGAUUGCGGGUUAACAGCCCGCGGUCCUGACGGUACCGUUAAAGGAAACCCCGGCUAACUCCGUGCCAGCAGCCGCGGUAAUACGGGGGGGGUAAGCGUUGUUCGGAAUUACUGGGCGUAAAGGGCUCGUAGGCGGCCAACUAAGUCAUACGUGAAAUCCCUCAGCUUAACUGGGGAACUGCGUGUGAUACUGGAUGGCUUGGAUCCGGGAGAGGGAUGCGGAAUUCCAGGUGUAGCGGUGAAAUGCGUAGAUAUCUGGAGGAACACCGGUGGCGAAGGCGGCAUCCUGGACCGGUAUUGACGCUGAGGAGCGAAAGCCAGGGGAGCAAACGGGAUUAGAUACCCCGGUAGUCCUGGCCCUAAACGAUGAAUGCUUGGUGUAGCGGGUAUCGAUCCCUGCUGUGCCGAAGCUAACGCAUUAAGCAUUCCGCCUGGGGAGUACGGUCG